UACGGGAGGCAGCAGUGGGGAAUAUUGCACAAUGGGCGCAAGCCUGAUGCAGCCAUGCCGCGUGUAUGAAGAAGGCCUUCGGGUUGUAAAGUACUUUCAGUCGUGAGGAAGGUGUUAAGGUUAAUAACCUUAGCAAUUGACGUUAGCGACAGAAGAAGCACCGGCUAACUCCGUGCCAGCAGCCGCGGUAAUACGGAGGGUGCGAACGUUAAUCGGAAUUACUGGGCGUAAAGGGCACGCAGGCGGUUAAUUAAGUUGGAUGUGAAAUCCCCGGGCUUAACCUGGGAAUGGCAUUCAAGACUGGUUAGCUAGAGUCUUGUAGAGGGGGUAGAAUUCCAUGUGUAGCGGUGAAAUGCGUAGAGAUGUGGAGGAAUACCGGUGGCGAAGGCGGCCCCUGGACAAAGACUGACGCUCAUGUGCGAAAGCGUGGGGAGCAAACAGGGAUUAGAUACC
rnacentral:rRNA from 1 species